rnacentral:rRNA from 1 species
GAUGAACGCUGGCGGCGUGCUUAACACAUGCAAGUCGAGCGAUGAAGUUUCCUUCGGGAAACGGAUUAGCGGCGGACGGGUGAGUAACACGUGGGUACCCUGCCUCAUAGAGUGGAAUAGCCUUCCGAAAGGAAGAUUAAUACCGCAUAAUGUUGAAAGAUGGCAUCAUCAUUCAACCAAAGGAGCAAUCCGCUAUGAGAUGGACCCGCGGCGCAUUAGCUAGUUGGUGGGGUAACGGCCUACCAAGGCGACGAUGCGUAGCCGACCUGAGAGGGUGAUCGGCCACAUUGGGACUGAGACACGGCCCAGACUCCUACGGGAGGCAGCAGUGGGGAAUAUUGCACAAUGGGGGAAACCCUGAUGCAGCAACGCCGCGUGAGUGAUGAAGGUUUUCGGAUCGUAAAGCUCUGUCUUUGGGGAAGAUAAUGACGGUACCCAAGGAGGAAGCCACGGCUAACUACGUGCCAGCCGCCGCAGUAA